rnacentral:misc_RNA from 1 species
GCGGAAGGAUCAUUAUCCAUCUCAACCAGGAGUGGUGGCGGCCAGGCAUUGCGUCCUCGGUUCAGCCCCGCUUUCCUGCAUCCUUUUUUUACGAGCACCUUUCGUUCUCCUUCGGCGGGGCAACCUGCCGCUGGAACUUAACAAAACCUUUUUUUGCAUCUAGCAUUACCUGUUCUGAUACAAACAAUCGUUACAACUUUCAACAACGGAUCUCUUGGUUCUGGCAUCGAUGAAGAACGCAGCGAAAUGCGAUACGUAAUGUGAAUUGCAGAAUUCAGUGAAUCAUCGAAUCUUUGAACGCACAUUGCGCCCCUUGGUAUUCCGAGGGGCAUGCCUGUUCGAGCGUCAUUUCACCAAUCAAGCCCCGCUUGGUAUUGGAGGCAGGCCCCGGCUCCGGCCAGGGCCCCCCCGAAAUGCAUCGGCGAGGACACCGAC